rnacentral:tmRNA from 1 species
GGCCUUACAAUCUCAGCCCCGACCCCCUAUAUUAGAUGCGUCUGGCUCGACCGGACUAUGACGAUAAACGGCUGCGUAAUAAGCGGACUGGACCCGGGGGCGGUACCCGGCGCCUCCACCACCUGCCCUCUGAGGAGGCCAGCUGUGGGGGCGAAAUAGGAUCGACAGACGUGUAAAGGCUGACCUUUCGUUCGGUAUGGUAUCCGCCGUUAUCGGGCUGUCUGUAUAGGUGCCAACGACAAUGAAAUGGCCCUCGCUGCCUAAUUAGGCAAGCGCGGCCCGAGGGACGCCGGGCAACAGAAGUCCCUCACC